rnacentral:rRNA from 1 species
CUUGACCGCUGGCGGAAUGCUCUACACAUGCAAGUCGUACGGCAGCACGGACUUCGGUCUGGUGGCGAGUGGCGAACGGGUGAGUAAUGUAUCGGAACGUGCCCAGUCGUGGGGGCUAACGUAGUGAAAAUUACGCUAAUACCGAAUAAGAUCUAUGUAUGCAAGCCGGGGAUCGAAAGACAUCCAGCGAUUGGAGCGGCCGAUAUCAGCUUAGGUAGUGGGUGGGGUAAAGGCCCACGAAGCCAACGAUCUGUAGCUGGUCUGAGAGGACGACCAGCCACACUGGAACUGGGACACGGUCCAGACUCCUACGGGAGGCAGCAGUGGGGAAUUUUGGACAAUGGGCGAAAGCCUGAUCCAGCCAUUCCGCGUGCAGGAUGAAGGCCCUCGGGUUGUAAGCUGCUUUUGUACAGAACGAAAAGGUUUCUACGAAUACUAGGAGCUCAUGACGGUACUGUAAGAAUAAGCACCGGCUAACUACGUGCCAGCCGCCGCAGUAA